GGGUUGUGAGGUUAAGCGACUAAGCGUACACGGUGGAUGCCCUGGCAGUCAGAGGCGAUGAAGGGCGUACUAAUCUGCGAUAAGCGCCGGUAAGGUGAUAUGAACCGUUAUAACCGGCGAUACCCGAAUGGGGAAACCCAGUGUGACUCGUCACACUAUCAUUAACUGAAUCCAUAGGUUAAUGAGGCGAACCGGGGGAACUGAAACAUCUAAGUACCCCGAGGAAAAGAAAUCAACCGAGAUUCCCCCAGUAGCGGCGAGCGAACGGGGAGGAGCCCAGAGCCUGAAUCAGCAUGUGUGUUAGUGGAAGCGUCUGGAAAGGCGCGCGAUACAGGGUGACAGCCCCGUACACAAAAGCGCAUGUGCUGUGAGCUCGAUGAGUAGGGCGGGACACGUGGUAUCCUGUCUGAAUAUGGGGGGACCAUCCUCCAAGGCUAAAUACUCCUGACUGACCGAUAGUGAACCAGUACCGUGAGGGAAAGGCGAAAAGAACCCCGGCGAGGGGAGUGAAAAAGAACCUGAAACCGUGUACGUACAAGCAGUGGGAGCACCCUUUGGGUGUGACUGCGUACCUUUUGUAUAAUGGGUCAGCGACUUAUAUUCUGUAGCAAGGUUAACCGAAUAGGGGAGCCGGAGGGAAACCGAGUCUUAAUUGGGCGUUAAGUUGCAGGGUAUAGACCCGAAACCCGGUGAUCUAGCCAUGGGCAGGUUGAAGGUUGGGUAACACUAACUGGAGGACCGAACCGACUAAUGUUGAAAAAUUAGCGGAUGACCUGUGGCUGGGGGUGAAAGGCCAAUCAAACCGGGAGAUAGCUGGUUCUCCCCGAAAGCUAUUUAGGUAGCGCCUCGUGAAUUCAUCUCCGGGGGUAGAGCACUGUUUCGGCUAGGGGGCCAUCCCGGCUUACCAACCCGAUGCAAACUGCGAAUACCGGAGAAUGUUAUCACGGGAGACACACGGCGGGUGCUAACGUCCGUCGUGAAGAGGGAAACAACCCAGACCGCCAGCUAAGGUCCCAAAGUCAUGGUUAAGUGGGAAACGAUGUGGGAAGGCCCAGACAGCCAGGAUGUUGGCUUAGAAGCAGCCAUCAUUUAAAGAAAGCGUAAUAGCUCACUGGUCGAGUCGGCCUGCGCGGAAGAUGUAACGGGGCUAAACCAUGCACCGAAGCUGCGGCAGCGACA
rnacentral:rRNA from 1 species